ACGGCCUAUGCUCCCACGAAAGGCAGAGCUGCUGCUGUUGUCAGUCACUGACCGGUAGAUCAGUAAGUAACUGAACAGACUGUUUUGAACAGAAUAUUUUUUUAACAGGAAAAUGUAACCAUUUGCUGCCAUUUUAUCAGCAUUUUAAACAUAAUCCAUGAAUUAUAUAUUAUACAUACUCUAUAUUUGUAAAUAAAAAUAUUUUUUAAAAGGUUAUAAGCUCUGUACAUAACUCAACCUAUUUUGUUUAUAUUUAAAAUUUACCAUCAAUAUUUAUAUUUAUCAUCAAUAUUUAUAUUGACCUACAAAAUGUAUAUUGACCAACAGAAUUGAUAUUUACAUAUAGCCUUCAAUGUCCCAUUGCUGUUCUAUCCUGUGUAUAGCUGUGCGUUUCCUACCCCUCAGCCCCUCAGUGUGUUUGGCACAAUGGUGGAAAAGCUUCCCCAGUCUAAUUCAGACACUUAAUCAAGUAAUUUAAUGCAUUGUUAACCACAUUAAAAGGAGGUUGUUUCACAAUACCUUCUGAGUAAAACGGUUUGAAGGGUUACUGUGAAAUUAGCCUUUGACAGUUAGAAUGAUUAGAGGCUUUGAAAUUGCCUCUCCUUUAUGUUCUCUCCUCGUCCGUCGGUACCACUGGUGUGUUUGUGCGCCCUCCUCCGCCAUCAUGACUCUCUCUGCAGAUGAGGUGACUUUAAUUGACCCCCCUUUACAGGUUCUGUCUGUCGUUUAUCUUUCUCUCUUUUCUUUCAGUAUUCAAAGUGCUCAUAAUUGGAGCCCAGAGAGUACGUUUCUCAAACGAGAGGUUCCAUAAUUAUAACCUUUUUUUUCACUAUAUGAAUAGCCAAAUAGAAAACAGCUGCACAAUUGAUUCCCCUCAUUUGUUUUGACUGUCAUACUGAGUUUGGGUCCUUUCUGCUCCUGUAUAUUUUUCCUGCACUGUAGGUGAUGUGAGGAAAACAACCAUAUAUACACUAGCUACCUGGCUGUAGGUGAUGAUACACUAGCUACCUGGCUGUGGGUGUUGAUACACCUGGAACCUGGCUGUAGGUGUUGAUACACUAGGAACCUGGCUGUAGGUGUUGAUACACUAACUACCUGGCUGUAGGUGAUGAUACACUAGGAACCUGGCUGUAGGUGUUGAUACACUAGGAACCUGGCUGUAGGUGUUGAUACACUAGCUACCUGGCUGUAGGUGAUGAUACACUAGGAACCUGGCUGUAGGUGUUGAUACACUAGGAACCUGGCUGUAGGUGUUGAUACACUAGCUACCUGGCUGUAGGUGAUGAUACACUAGGAACCUGGCUGUAGGUGUUGAUACACUAGGAACCUGGCUGUAGUUGAUGUGAUACACUAGGAACCUGGCUGUAGGUGUUGAUACACUAGGAACCUGGCUGUAGUUGAUGUGAUACACUAGGAACCUGGCUGUAGGUGAUGAUACACUAGGAACCUGGCUGUAGGUGUUGAUGCAGUAGGAACCUGGCUGUAGG
rnacentral:lncRNA from 1 species